UGUAAGCGUAUACCAAAGUUGUUGCAGUUAAAACGCUCGUAGUCGGAAUUUGGCAGUUCCGGAUGUGUGCACGUCGUGUGCGCACUUCGCGGGGAUUGCUUUUGUGGUCUUGCGUAGGAUGAGGCACUUUUAUCAGCGAACGUCCUCACGCAACCACUUUUUACUGCGAGAAAAUCAGAGUGCUCAAAGCAGGCAUUUGCCGUGAAUGUAUUAGCAUGGAAUAAUAGAAUAGGACUUGGUUCUAUUUUGUUGGUUUGUUGGGACUGAGUAAUGAUUAAGAGGGACAGUUGGGGGCAUUUGUAUUUCGGUGCCAGAGGUGAAAUUCUUAGAUUACCGAAAGACAAACUGCUGCGAAAGCGUCUGCCAAGGAUGUUUUCAUUGA
rnacentral:rRNA from 1 species